CCUACGGGAGGCAGCAGUGAGGAAUAUUGGUCAAUGGGCGCGAGCCUGAACCAGCCAAGUAGCGUGAAGGAUGACUGCCCUACGGGUUGUAAACUUCUUUUAUAAAGGAAUAAAGUGAGGCACGUGUGCCUUUUUGUAUGUAUUUUAUGAAUGAGGAUCGGCUAACUCCGUGCCAGCAGCCGCGGUAAUACGGAGGAUCCGAGCGUUAUACGGAUUUAUUGGGUUUAAAGGGAGCGUAGAUGGGUUGUUAAGUCAGUUGUGAAAGUUUGCGGCUCAACCGUAAAAUUGCAAUUGAUACUGGCAGGCGUGAGUACAGUUGAGGGAAGCGGAAUUCGUGGUGUAGCGGUGAAAUGCUUAGAUAUCACGAAGAAAUCCGAUGGCGAAGGCAGCCUACUAAACUGCAACUGACAUUGAUGCUCGAAAGUGUGGGUAUCAAACAGGAGUAGAUACCCUGGUAGUC
rnacentral:rRNA from 1 species